UCGUCAGCGCGCGGGUCCCGGCGCUGGGUGUUCAUCAGGGACAUGCUCCUCCAUCGCAGCAAGAGCGAGCCAGGCAGCGGCGCCCGCCGCUAGCAAGCCCGAACGAGCCUGGUCGUUCUCCUCCCCGUCCUAAUAAUCAGGGAAAGGCUCGCCGCGAGGCUCCGCCCCUAUCGCGCGCCGCCAGCGACAGAGAAUGCUUGCGGUCCCGGUGGCGAGGAUGGCCGGCCGCGGGGGCAGGGCAGGGGCCGGGGCAGGAACGCCAUCGAUCUGGGGCGCCCCCGGCAUCGCAGCUUCUCUCGCCUCCUAGGAAAUCACGGAGCUUCCGAACAGGGCUCCUACACGAUCUACAUGAAGAUUGUCGGGGAUGACAACGAGGAGCUGAGCUGCAUCUCGUUUGGGUUCAGCAUCAGCUUCGUCGCGUCCGAGCCUGGGCAUGAGAGGCAGCCAGCCCAUGGAUGAUUCUGAUGAGGACGAGACUGAUGAUUCCGAUGAGGACGAGACAGAUGAAACCAAUUGCCUUUUAAUGGUCUAUGUUAUCAUUCAAAAUUGUCUUAUGUUGACACUAUGUAUAUAUGCUAUUCACAAUAAUAGAGCCAUUCAUACUGUUGGGCGCCUUGGAUGAACUAUCUUUUCUUCAACAAAGAUGGAGCUCAUGCAGAUUGAUUUA